UACGGAGGAUCCGAGCGUUAUCCGGAUUUAUUGGGUUUAAAGGGUGCGUAGGUGGAUUGGUAAGUCAGUGGUGAAAGUUUGCAGCUUAACUGUAACAGUGCCGUUGAUACUGGGGAGCUAGGAUUUGGUUGCUGUGGGUGGAAUGUGCGGUGUAGCGGUGAAAUGCUUAGAGAUCACACAGAAUAUCGAUUGCGAAGGCAGCUCACAAAGCCAAGAUUGACGCUGAGGCACGAAAGUGUGGGGAUCAAACAGGAUUAGA
rnacentral:rRNA from 1 species